AGCGAACGCUGGCGGCGUGCCUAACACAUGCAAGUCGAACGUGAAAAGGGAAACCUGAGUAAAGUGGCGUACGGGUGAGUAACGCGUAGGUAAUCUACCCCAGAAUCUGGAAUAACCUGCCGAAAGGCGGGCUAAUACUGGAUAGAGCGAGGGAACUCGUAAGAGAGUUUUUCGGGAAAGGGAGCCCGCAAGGGCCUUCGUUCUGGGAUGAGCCUGCGUCUCAUUAGCUAGUUGGUAAGGUAACGGCUUACCAAGGCGAUGAUGAGUAGCUGGUCUGAGAGGAUGAUCAGCCACACUGGAACUGAAACACGGUCCAAACUCCUACGGGAGGCAGCAGUGGGGAAUCUUGCGCAAUGGACGAAAGUCUGACGCAGCCACGCCGCGUGAGUGAAGGAGGCCUUCGGGUUGUAAAGCUCUGUCGGAUGGGACGAACAUCUUCAUAGUGAAUAGCUAUGAGGACUGACGGUACCAUCAAAGGAAGCACCGGCUAACUCCGUG
rnacentral:rRNA from 1 species